rnacentral:rRNA from 1 species
UACGUAGGGUGCGAGCGUUAAUCGGAAUUACUGGGCGUAAAGCGUGCGCAGGCGGUGACGUAAGACCGAUGUGAAAUCCCCGGGCUUAACCUGGGAACUGCAUUGGUGACUGCAUUGCUGGAGUAUGGCAGAGGGGGGUGGAAUUCCACGGUGUAGCAGUGAAAUGCGUAGAGAUGUGGAGGAACACCGAUGGCGAAGGCAGCCCCCUGGGUCAAGAUUGACGCUCAUGCACGAAAGCGUGGGGAGCAAACAGG